GGGGGCGACUUGGCUUCGACGUGGGUAGCAAAACCUUGAGUGCAUGCCGUGGACAGUACACCACGUAAAAUCUACUGAAUUUAAAGUAUUCGCUAAUGACGAAAACUACUCAGUGGCUCUAGCAGCUUAAACCCUGCACCACUCUUCUGACUACAUGUGCUUAUGCGUGUAGGUACCUCGGUACACUCAGAAGUCAUCUUACAUAAGAUCGCGCCAGGACUUAGUUCGGAGUCCAAAACGUUAAAUCCAAUCGAAAUCGCUGAUAGUUUUCUUGGCUCGACGGGUAGCUAUUAGUUAAAUCAAAAGAGCGAGAUAAGCAUGUAGACCUUUAGGCGGAGUGCUUGCGGACGCGGGUUCAAUUCCCGCCGCCUCCACCA
rnacentral:tmRNA from 1 species